rnacentral:sRNA from 1 species
GGAUUGGUGGUGGGGCCAGAUCGACGAUGAGGAGGGAUGGUUUCCUGCCAGCUUUGUGAGGGCAUCUAUAUGUGCUAAUUGCAGCAUCAGUGAAGAAAAG